CCUACGGGUGGCAGCAGUGGGGAAUAUUGCACAAUGGGGGAAACCCUGAUGCAGCGACGCCGCGUGAGUGAAGCAGUAUUUCGGUAUGUAAAGCUCUAUCAGCAGGGAAGAAAAUGACGGUACCUGAGUAAGAAGCCCCGGCUAACUACGUUCCAGCAGCCGCGGUAAUACGUAGGGGGCAAGCGUUAUCCGGAUUUACUGGGUGUAAAGGGAGCGUAGACGGCAAGGCAAGUCUGGAGUGAAAGGCCGGGGCUCAACCGCGGGACUGCUUUUGAAACUGUCAGGCUGGAGUGCAGGAGAGGGAAGUGGAAUUCGUAGUGUAGCGGUGAAAUGCGUAGAUAUUAGGAGGAACACCAGUGGCGAAGGCGGCUUACUGGACUGUAACUGACGUUGAGGCUCGAAAGCGUGGGGAGCAAACAGGAUUAGAUACCCUGGUAGUC
rnacentral:rRNA from 1 species